UUAGCCAGUUGGCGGGGUAACGGCCCACCAAAUCGACGAUCAGCAGCCGGCCUGAGAGGGUGGACGGCCACACUGGGACUGAGACACGUCCCAGACUCCUACGGGAGGCAGCAGUGGGGAAUAUUGCACAAUGGGGGGAACCCUGAUGCAGCGACGCCGCGUGAGUGAAGAAGUAUUUCGGUAUGUAAAGCUCUGUCAGCAGGGAAGAAGAAAGACGGUACCUGACCAAGAAGCCCCGGCUAACUACGUGCCAGCAGCCGCGGUAAUACGUAGGGGGCAAGCGUUAUCCGGAUUUACUGGGUGUAAAGGGAGCGUAGACGGCAGGGCAAGUCUGGAGUGAAAGGCAGGGGCCCAACCCCUGGACUGCUCUGGAAACUGUCCGGCUGGAGUGCAGGAGAGGUAAGUGGAAUUCCUAGUGUAGCGGUGAAAUGCGUAGAUAUUAGGAGGAACACCAGUGGCGAAGGCGGCUUACUGGACUGUAACUGACGUUGAGGCUCGAAAGCGUGGGGAGCAAACAGGAUUAGAUACCCUGGUAGUCCACGCCGUAAACGAUGAUCACCAGGUGUCGGGGGUUAACAGACCCCCG
rnacentral:rRNA from 1 species